CCUACGGGCGACAGCAGUGAGGAAUAUUGGUCAAUGGGCGCGAGCCUGAACCAGCCAAGUCGCGUGAGGGAUGACGGCCCUACGGGUUGUAAACCUCUUUUGCCGGGGAGCAACGGGCGCCACGUGUGGCGCCACUUAGAGUACCCGGAGAAAAAGCCUCGGCUAACUCCGUGCCAGCAGCCGCGGUAAUACGGAGGAUGCGAGCGUUAUCCGGAUUUAUUGGGUUUAAAGGGUGCGUAGGCUGUGAGGUAAGUCAGCGGUGAAAUGCCCCCGCUCAACGGGGUGAAGUGCCAUUGAUACUGCCGUGCUGGAAUGCGGAUGCCGUGGGAGGAAUGUGUGGUGUAGCGGUGAAAUGCAUAGAUAUCACACAGAACACCGAUUGCGAAGGCAUCUCACGAAGCCGCGAUUGACGCUGAUGCACGAAAGCGUGGGUAUCAAACAGGAUUAGAUACCCCAGUAGUC
rnacentral:rRNA from 1 species